rnacentral:rRNA from 1 species
UACGAAGGGUGCAAACGUUGCUCGGAAUCAUUGGGCGUAAAGCGCACGUAGGCGGCCCCAUAAGUCGGAUGUGAAAUCCCACGGCUCAACCGUGGAAGUGCAUCCGAAACUGCGGGGCUCGAGUAUGGAAGAGGGUCGCAGAAUUCCCGGUGUAGAGGUGAAAUUCGUAGAUAUCGGGAGGAAUACCAGUGGCGAAGGCGGCGACCUGGGCCAAUACUGACGCUGAGGAGCGAAAGCAUGGGGAGCGAACAGG